AUGAACGCUGGCGGCGUGCCUCAUACAUGCCAGUCGAGCGCACGGACGAGAAGCUUGCUUCUCUGAUGUUAGCGGCGGACGGGUGAGUAACACGUGGAUAACCUACCUAUAAGACUGGGAUAACUUCGGGAAACCGGAGCUAAUACCGGAUAAUAUUUUGAACCGCAUGGUUCAAAAGUGAAAGACGGUCUUGCUGUCACUUAUAGAUGGAUCCGCGCUGCAUUAGCUAGUUGGUAAGGUAACGGCUUACCAAGGCAACGAUGCAUAGCCGACCUGAGAGGGUGAUCGGCCACACGGGAACUGAGACACGGUCCAGACUCCUACGGGAGGCAGCAGUAGGGAAUCUUCCGCAAUGGGCGAAAGCCUGACGGAGCAACGCCGCGUGAGUGAUGAAGGUCUUCGGAUCGUAAAACUCUGUUAUUAGGGAAGAACAUAUGUGUAAGUAACUGUGCACAUCUUGACGGUACCUAAUCAGAAAGCCACGGCUAACUACGUG
rnacentral:rRNA from 1 species